AUGGCGUGUGCAACUUUGAAACGGUCUUUGGAUUGGGAGGCGAUAAACCAGCGUCCGACCAAACGGCGCAGAUGUAAUCCAUUUGGGAAUUCAGGAAAUACGUCGCCGGGGCCUUCGUCGGGCUCUAACCAGCCCGGAUCGCCGUCACACAAUAGCAACAGUCGCCUUAUGGUGGAACCACACCAAUCUCCCUUUGCGGACACAUCAGUGGGCAAAAUCUCCCCAGAUAAAAUGGCACAAAACAUUCGGGAAGAAAUCAUCAGAUUGCAUAGACGUAAGCAACUUCCACUUUCCUCCUCGGCGUUGGAGCGUAUGCAGGACUCAGAAUCGAGCGGAUCGGAAAUGGGACCCGACAGCCCACGGCGUCCAGACAGUCCCCCAAGCUUAGUCAGACAUCCCGAAAAAGCUUUAUUUACAUUUAAACAGGUGCAAUUAAUUUGCGAGCGAAUGCUCAAAGAAAGAGAAGAAGCUCUGCGUGAACAAUAUGAUGCUGUCCUAACAACAAAAUUAGCGGAACAAUACGAUGCAUUUGUGAAAUUCACAUACGAUCAGAUACAAAGGCGAUACGAAGCCGCGCCGAGUUAUCUGUCGUAAUUGGAUCAGCAAUGGCGUUACUGUUGCUAGUCGCGAAUCAUUUUGUCAUCAGUAUCGUCAUUAAGGACAAAUCAUCAAACUAUUAAUACUUUACUACAACUAUAUCAAGAGAGGAUAUUUAAUUCCAAUAACAAACAACAAACGUACAUCAAUCAAAUAACACUACAAAUUUCGGUUUACUCUAUUUCUUCGUAUUUUUUUCUCCUUUUUGAAUUUUCAAAUAGCAAAUAUUUUACUUUUAGUUUAUUAUUAUAAUUAUUACAAGAAUAUAUUGAAAAAGAUCAUUUAUAGAGCUAAGAUUAUAUCGACUUAAAAGAAAACAAACAACCACAACAAGAAAGCGUAUAGUUGAAAGCAACAACGUGAAACCAUCCGAGAAGUAGCUGAAAUCAUUGUUCAUGAAAGCCCGGUUUGUUGUCCAAACAAUUUGUUGUCGAACGACUUAAUUUAGGAUGCAUUAUUUGUAUGAUUAUAUAUAGUUUACGUGAAAUAAACAUUGAUACGCUGAUUGUAAUUACCAAUGUUAUGUAAGGGACGUCGAAACAUAACAGUUUUUCUUGGAAUUGUAUUAUAUUGUCUUGAAAUCGGAGGACUAUCAGUCGAGAGCGGGAGUUUCAAUCCAAACUUGAUAACUAGGAGCAGAAUCCACAAAAGUCUGAAGAAAACUCAUUUCACGAAAUGGAGAUAACUAACGUGGAAUUUCAUUUAUGCGCUUGUAAUAAAAUUAGAGUUAAAUUUACAUGUGUUUAUUUUCAAUCCGCUUUCGUCCCUUUGUUUCCAUCUAAAUACACUUUUUUCAUUUCGAAUAGUGCGGAUUCAUAUUUAUAAGCAAAAGUGUAAAAAAAAUAUUGCGAUAAUUUAUAGCUGAAUAAUGAUACAGUAAUACUAAGGUCGAUAUCCAUUUCAAACUGAUUAGAUUUAAUUGUAUUUUGUUUUUCUACGUUCAGUCGCUCGCCAUACGUUUUUGGUACGGUAUCAAGUUUUCAAUUGGCGACCAAGCACUGAGAGAAGUCGGCGAUAGAUGGUUAAGGAAAUUACAUACUUUAGAUUAUUUUUAAUGUAUACAAUAGAGUCAACGUAAUUUUAGAGUAGAAUUUGUCACUAUGUUCUCAAUUUCAAUCCUGAUUGUUGUGCCACGAAACGGACAUGCUGUUCUGUACGAAAACAACAUCUUGACAGAACUGGCGGGUGAAGGAGAAAGCAAUUGGAAAUAAAUUUAUUUGGUUCAAUCAAAA
rnacentral:misc_RNA from 1 species